rnacentral:ncRNA from 1 species
GAAAGGUCAGCCUGAGGCUGGCUGGGCAGCACGAAGGUGCGCCCCAAUUAGA